rnacentral:antisense_RNA from 1 species
CUUGAGGGAACCCAGCAGCAGCGGAUGAUCCGCCGACCGGUUCGCCCCGUAGGUGGCGAUCAGGGCCUGCGCCUC